rnacentral:misc_RNA from 1 species
CGCAGAGCACACUCGGCGCCAAGCGCCCGCCGCGUGAGCACUGGCCAGCAGCCGAGCCGGCACCAUGCACGAGCUGCACGUGCACGACGUGCUGGGGAGGAAGGCGGCCGGCCACGAGCUGACCGCCAAGGAGAUCGAGCUCUUCGUGGAGCGAGUCUCCCGAGAGGAGAUCGACCGACUGCAGCUAGGCGCUCUGCUGAUGGCCAUCUACACCCGCGGCAUGGUGCAGCGCGAGGUGACCCAGCUGACGGCGGCCAUGACCCGGUCGGGCGAAGUGCUCCGCUGGCCCGACGACUGGACCGUGGUCGACAAACACAGCACCGGUGGCGUCGGCGACAAGGUGUCGCUGCCGCUGGCGCCGGCGCUGGCCGCGCUCGGCUUCAAAGUGCCCAUGGUGUCCGGCCGCGGCCUGGGCCACACCGGCGGAACGCUCGACAAACUGGAGGCCAUUCCAGGGUUCAGCGUCAGUCAGACGGCCGGUCAGAUGCGCGCCUGUCUGGAGCGCGUCGGCUGCUGUAUCGUCGGCCAGACCCAGACGCUGGUGCCGGCCGACCGGGUGCUCUACGCCAGCCGCGAUGUGACUCACACCGUCGACUCGGCACCGCUCAUCUGCUCGUCCAUCGUUAGCAAGAAGGCCGCCGAGGGUCUGCAGGCGCUCGUGCUGGACGUCAAGUACGGCGCCGGGGCGUUCCAGCGGGACGCCAGGCACGCCGCCGAGAUCGCCAGGAUGCUGGUGGACACAGCGAACGGGAUGGGGAUCAGCACGGCGGCGCUCAUCACUAGCAUGGAGUCGCCCAUCGGCCAGACGGUCGGCAACGCGCUGGAGGUGGCCGAGGCGGUGCGCUGCCUGCGCGGCCGCGGCGCCGCCGACCUGCGCGAGCUGGUCACGGCGCUGGGCGGCCAGCUGGUGCAGCUGGCCGGCCGCGGCUCGGCCCAGCACGGCGCCCAGCUGGUGGCGCGCGCGCUGGCCGACGGCUCGGCGCUGGACAAGUUCCGACAGAUGCUGGUGUGCCAGGGUGUCAGCGAGCCGGACGCGCACCAGCUCUGUCACGGAGACGAGUGGACGGUGCUGCCGCGCGCGCCGGCCAUCGAGGACGUGUGUGCCACGGACGCAGGCUUCGUGCACGCCGUGGACGCGCUGGCGGUGGCCCGCGUGUGUGCCGCGUUGGGAGCCGGCAGAAAGCAGGCCGGCGACUCCGUGGACCACAGGGUCGGCAUCACGUUUCUGGUCCGCCUCGGAGACAUGCUCGAAAUCGGACAGCCGUGGGCGCAGAUCCACCACUGUGGCACUCUGACGGACGCCGGCCGGCUGCAGGUGCGCCAGGCGCUCCGUCUGACCGCCCAGCGGCCCAGCCCGGCCCCGCGCGUCACCGGGCUCGUGCAGAGACAGUGAUCGGGCCGACGGGCGCACAGAGGGGCCGCACCAGCUGCCGGCGUGGCGCUGGGCGACCCCAUCAGCCGGAGACCAGCGAGGCAGAGCCGGCACGGGAUCCGUCGACCGGACCGGGUCGGGGGACACUGAGGACAGUAGGGCACCGAGACGCCGCCCUGACCUGGCCAGUAGUGUAUGCAGUGCACCGAGGCGCCGCCCUGACCUGGCCAGCAGUGUAUGCAGUGCACUGAGGCGCCGCCCUGACCUGGCAAGCAGUGUAUGCAGUGCACUGAGGUGCCGCCCUGACCUGGACAGUCCGGCCAGGAUGUGGUCUGUACAGUAGUGUGCGACCUCACUGCUCAAAGUUUAAAAACAAAGCAAGAAAUUCGCUGAGAAAAUGAUUGUGAAAACUGGCUAGCACACAUGGUACUGAAGAGAUUGAAGCCAUUUUCAAAGUUG